AAUCAACGCUGGCGGCGUGCCUCAGACAUGCAAGUCGAACGAGAAAGUCCCCUUCGGGGGAUAAGUAAAGUGGCGCACGGGUGAGUAACACGUAGGUAAUCUACCUUCGGGUGGGGAAUAACCCAGGGAAACUUGGGCUAACACCGCAUAAUGCAGCGGCACCACAUGGUGACAGUUGUUAAAGCGGGGGAUUUUCGAACCUCGCGCCUGAAGAGGAGCCUGCGGCGGAUUAGCUAGNGGUGAGGUAACGGCUCACCAAGGUCACGAUCCGUAGCCGGCCUGAGAGGGCGGUCGGGCCACACUGACACUGACAUACGGGUCAGACUCCUACGGGAGGCAGCAGUCGGGAAUUUUGGGCAAUGGGCGAAAGCCUGACCCAGCAACGCCGCGUGAAGGAUGAAAUCCCUCGGGAUGUAAACUUCGCAAGAAUGGGAAGAAUUAGUAGGGACAAUACCCCUAUGAUGACGGUACCAUUUGUAAGCUCCGGCUAACUCCGUGCCAGCAGCCGCAGU
rnacentral:rRNA from 1 species